rnacentral:tRNA from 1 species
GCGGGUAGCGGGCAACGAUUUCCGCAAUCCCUUCGCCCGUCGCCUUCGCAAUGCGAAGGUCGGAGGUUCGACUCCUCUUAUCGGCA